AGAGUUUGAUCCUGGCUCAGAACGAACGCUGGCGGCGUGCCUAACACAUGCAAGUCGAACGGAGGCAAGGGGCUUGCUCCUUGCUUUAGUGGCGCACGGGUGAGUAACGCGUGGAUAAUCUGCCCGAUGCUCUGGGAUAACAUCUCGAAAGGGGUGCUAAUACCGGAUAAGCCCACGGACUCUUCGGAGUUUGCGGGAAAAGGGGGGGACCUCCGGGCCUCCUGACAUCGGAUGAGUCCGCGUCCCAUUAGCUAGUUGGUGGGGUAAAGGCCUACCAAGGCGACGAUGGGUAGCUGGUCUGAGAGGAUGAUCAGCCACACUGGAACUGAGACACGGUCCAGACUCCUACGGGAGGCAGCAGUGGGGAAUUUUGCGCAAUGGGGGCAACCCUGACGCAGCAACGCCGCGUGAGUGAUGAAGGCCUUUGGGUCGUAAAGCUCUGUCAGAGGGAAAGAAAUGUGGGCGACUAAUAAUUGUUCCACUUGACGGUACCCUCAAAGGAAGCACCGGCUAACUCCGUGCCAGCAGCCGCGGUAAUACGGAGGGUGCGAGCGUUGUUCGGAAUUAUUGGGCGUAAAGCGCGUGUAGGCGGCUUAUUAAGUCUGAUGUGAAAGCCCUGGGCUCAACCUGGGAAGUGCAUUGGAUACUGGUAGACUUGAGUACGGGAGAGGGCAGUGGAAUUCCCAGUGUAGGAGUGAAAUCCGUAGAUAUUGGGAGGAACACCGGUGGCGAAGGCGGCUGCCUGGACCGAUACUGACGCUGAGACGCGAAAGCGUGGGGAGCAAACAGGAUUAGAUACC
rnacentral:rRNA from 1 species